rnacentral:rRNA from 1 species
CGGAAGGGAUAACCGCUGAAGGCAUCUAAGCGGGAAGCUCGUUCCAAGAUGAGGUAUCCCACCCUUUGUGGGUUAAGGCCCCCAGCUAGACCACUGGGUUGAUAGGCCAGAGGUGGAAGACCGGUAACGGUUGGAGCUGACUGGUACUAAUAGGCCGAGGACUUGUUAC